rnacentral:rRNA from 1 species
AUACGUAGGGGACGAGCGUUGUCCGGAAUUACUGGGCGUAAAGGGCGCGCAGGCGGAUAUUUAAGUCAGCUGUAAAAGGCAUGAGCUCAACUCAUGUAUGCGGUUGAAACUGGGUAUCUAGAGUGCUGGAGAGGUAGGCGGAAUUCCCGGUGCAGCGGUGAAAUGCGUAGAUAUCGGGAAGAACACCAGUGGCGAAGGCGGCUUACUGGCCAGCAACUGACGCUGAGGCGCGAAAGCCAGGGGAGCGAACGGGAUUAGAUACCCCGGUAGUCCUGGCCGUAAACGAUGAAUGCUAGGUGUGGGUGUCGAGAGGCAUCCGUGCCGGAGUUAACGCGAUAAGCAUUCCGCCUGGGGAGUACGAUCGCAAGAUUGAAACUCAAAGGAAUUGACGGGG